UAUUAUUAUUCCCCUUUUUCAACUCUAUCAGAUACGGCCAAGCUUUGCAAUGAUCUUAGAUGGAAUAUCACCAGGCCCCAAGGUUUUGAGGCUGUCAUGCGUGUGAGAUGUAGCCAGGGAAUCCAAGUUCAAGAGUACUAUGGAAACUUUUGCAAACGCAUUCCAACUGAUGUUGACCUCCCUGGGUUUGACUGUGACAAAUCUAUUUUGAUAACCUUAAAGCAUGAUGACAAAUUGCAAGAUGGC